rnacentral:misc_RNA from 1 species
UUUCCGUAGGUGAACCUGCGGAAGGAUCAUUACUGAGUGAGGGCCCCUCAGGGUCCAACCUCCCACCCGUGUUUAACGAACCUUGUUGCUUCGGCGAGCCCGCCUCACGGCCGCCGGGGGGCAUCUGCCCCCGGGCCUGCGCCCGCCGAAGCCACCUGUGAACUCGUCUGAGGUAUGUAGUCUGAGACAAUUAUUAAAUUAAUUAAAACUUUCAACAACGGAUCUCUUGGUUCCG